AGCCACCUUGAUGCACAUCUGGCACACCAGCAAUCGGUCGUUCUCAUUGGUCCAAUCAAUACCAGACACUCCUUCAUCACCCACCUGGGGAGAUGUGCACAGAGAGGACUGGAGACAGGAGUGCCCUGGAUGGGAGGAGACGAGCACGGAGAGCCCAGAGGUGAUACGUUGGAGGGGGGGAAACCUGAAAAAGAUGUUUCCAAUUUUAAAAAAUUGGUUUGCUGUAAAGAUGGUUGGAGGUGACAGAGGCAGCGCAGGAGGCAGACAUGGAGCGGCUAUUUGAGAUGGUCAUCAUCACUGAGUUGUUCCAUGAUUCACUGGUUUGAUUUAAGGCAACAGUCAGAUAAAUAAAUUAAUGUAACCGAAAAAUAUUACCGUGAUUUCUUACUAUUAAAAGUUAUUGUGUUCCUCUUGG